GACGAACGCUGGCGGCGUGCUUAACACAUGCAAGUCGAACGGAAAGGCCCUGCUUUUGUGGGGUGCUCGAGUGGCGAACGGGUGAGUAACACGUGAGUAACCUGCCCUUGACUUUGGGAUAACUUCAGGAAACUGGGGCUAAUACCGGAUAGGAGCUCCUGCUGCAUGGUGGGGGUUGGAAAGUUUCGGCGGUGGGGGAUGGACUCGCGGCUUAUCAGCUUGUUGGUGGGGUAGUGGCUUACCAAGGCUUUGACGGGUAGCCGGCCUGAGAGGGUGACCGGCCACAUUGGGACUGAGAUACGGCCCAGACUCCUACGGGAGGCAGCAGUGGGGAAUAUUGCACAAUGGGCGGAAGCCUGAUGCAGCAACGCCGCGUGCGGGAUGACGGCCUUCGGGUUGUAAACCGCUUUCGCCUGUGACGAAGCGUGAGUGACGGUAAUGGGUAAAGAAGCACCGGCUAACUACGUG
rnacentral:rRNA from 1 species